GUCUGUAGCUCAUUGGUAAAGGCGCCGGCCUUACAAGCAGAAAUUGCAGGUUCAAGUCCUGACAGGACCU